ACUCCUACGGGAGGCAGCAGUGGGGAAUAUUGCACAAUGGGCGCAAGCCUGAUGCAGCAACGCCGUGUGAGUGAAGAAGGUUUUCGGAUCGUAAAACUCUGUCCUAAGGGAAGAAACAAAUGACGGUACCUUAGGAGGAAGCCCCGGCUAACUACGUGCCAGCAGCCGCGGUAAUACGUAGGGGGCAAGCGUUAUCCGGAAUCACUGGGCGUAAAGGGUGCGUAGGCGGCUUAGCAAGCCAGGGGUGAAAGGCAUUGGCUCAACCAAUGUAAGCCUUUGGAACUGUUAAGCUUGAGUGCAGGAGAGGUAAGUGGAAUUCCUAGUGUAGAGGUGAAAUUCGUAGAUAUUAGGAGGAACACCAGUGGCGAAGGCGACUUACUGGACUGUAACUGACGCUGAUGCACGAAAGCGUGGGUAGCGAACAGGAUUAGAUA
rnacentral:rRNA from 1 species